rnacentral:rRNA from 1 species
UACAGAGGUCCCAAGCGUUGUUCGGAUUCAUUGGGCGUAAAGGGUGCGUAGGCGGCGCGGUAAGUCGGGUGUGAAAUCUCGGAGCUUAACUCCGAAACUGCAUUCGAUACUGCCGUGCUUGAGGACUGGAGAGGAGACUGGAAUUUACGGUGUAGCGGUGAAAUGCGUAGAUAUCGUAAGGAAGACCGGUGGCGAAGGCGGUCUGCUGGGCAGUUUCUGACACUGAUGCGCGACAGCGUGGGGAGCAAACAGG